UACGUAGGCAGCAAGCGUUGUUCGGAGUUACUGGGCGUAAAGGGUGUGUAGGCGGUUCCUUAAGUUUGGUGUGAAAUCUCCCGGCUUAACCGGGAGGGUGCGCCGAAUACUGAGGGACUAGAGUACGGGAGAGGAAAGUGGAAUUGCUGGUGUAGCGGUGAAAUGCGUAGAUAUCAGGAGGAACACCGGUGGUGUAGACGGCUUUCUGGACCGUAACUGACGCUGAGACACGAAAGCGUGGGUAGCAAACAGG
rnacentral:rRNA from 1 species